rnacentral:rRNA from 1 species
GACGAACGCUGGCGGCGCGCCUAACACAUGCAAGUCGAACGGGCAAGCCCGGCCUUUGUUGGGCGCUCGAGUGGCGAACGGGUGAGUAACACGUGAGUAACCUGCCCUUGAGUUGGGGAUAACUUUUGGAAACUGGGGCUAAUACCGCAUAGGAGCUCCUGUCGCCCGGUGGGGGUUGGAAAGUGGCGGCUGUGGGGGAUGGUGUCGCGGCUUGUCAGCUUGUUGGUGGGGUAGUGGCGUACCAAGGCUUUGACGGGUGGCCGGCCUGGGAGGGUGACCGGACACAUUGGGACUGAGAUGCGGCCCAGACUCCUACGGGAGGCAGCAGUGGGGAAUAUUGCACAACGGGAGGAAGCCUGAUGCAGCAACGCCGCGUGCGGGAUGACGGCAUUCGGGUUGUAAACCGCUUUCGCCUGUGACGAAGCGUGAGUGACGGUAAUGGGUAAAGAAGCACCGGCUAACUACGUG